rnacentral:rRNA from 1 species
GUACACUCCUACGGGAGGCAGCAGUGGGGAAUUUUGGACAAUGGGCGAAAGCCUGAUCCAGCAAUGCCGCGUGAGUGAAGAAGGCCUUCGGGUUGUAAAGCUCUUUUGUCAGGGAAGAAACGGUGAAAGCUAAUAUCUUUUGCUAAUGACGGUACCUGAAGAAUAAGCACCGGCUAACUACGUGCCAGCAGCCGCGGUAAUACGUAGGGUGCAAGCGUUAAUCGGAAUUACUGGGCGUAAAGCGUGCGCAGGCGGUUUUGUAAGUCUGAUGUGAAAUCCCCGGGCUCAACCUGGGAAUUGCAUUGGAGACUGCAAGGCUAGAAUCUGGCAGAGGGGGGUAGAAUUCCACGUGUAGCAGUGAAAUGCGUAGAUAUGUGGAGGAACACCGAUGGCGAAGGCAGCCCCCUGGGUCAAGAUUGACGCUCAUGCACGAAAGCGUGGGGAGCAAACAGGAUUAGAAACCCCAGUAGUCC